rnacentral:lncRNA from 1 species
AUUACUUGUUUGUCUAACAGCGAGUACCUAAGAGAGAUGGCUGCUUUCUCUUCACUACUGGGGUUUUCUACCCUAAAGACUAGUCAUCUCAGUUGCCAUUCCAUUCACUUCCAUCGAAGUUGUCCCUGGGAAAUAGCAAAAAGAACCCUUAGUGCAACUGUAUUCCCAACUUCUGGUGUAUCUUUCCAAUAAUGAGACACUAAUCACAGAAGGGAAGAAGUCAGCCUACUGGAAUUCUUACAUUAGCCUUGUCUAUCCUGAAUCUUUUCACUGAUGCAAUUUCUGCAGCUUGUUCCAAGUGUAAAACUAUCACAGUAGUGAUUUGAAACCAGUGCUUAACCGAGUCAAGCCCUGAUUUGCAUGAAGUGAGACGGAUCGCAGCCAUGCGAUGUCAGGUGUUGGUGUGUGAUGUGUGGUCUCCUAAGAUUCGUGAUUGCAGGCAGAGACCUGAGCAUUGUUAGCAGGGUAAGAGACCUCUUUUCUGCUACUCAUCAUAUGUAUUUAAGAUGAAGUGCAGACGUUCUGCCUUACACAGUCUCUGCUCAAGUAGUGGCAGUUGCUCACUCCCAAUGGAGAGUUUAGGUUUGACGGUACUUAAUCAUAGUUUCACUGUUGAUUCUGGUUUUAACACUACAGAGCAGUUGAUAUCCCUUCCUUCGUUGUUUUGCUACUUUGUUUUGCAUCUGGGACAAAGACUUCAUCUUCGUACUUCUUGAAUAGGGUGUAGAAAGUGACUUUUCUCCUGUGAAUGUCUCAGAAUGGAUAGAGGUUGUGUUGAUACCAGCUCUGUAUUGAUACCAGCAAUUUGGGGAGGUUGGAGUGUGUACUGUAACACUUACUUUGGCUGGCCAGAUCCUCACAAAUAGAAAUAAACAUCAUCCUCCUUCCCCCCCCUCCCCAUUUAGGGCAGUACUUGCACUUUGUUUUGUAGUCUCCCUUGGUCUGAGUUGUUCACAGCUACUAGACUUUAAGGAACCACUUGGAUCUGGGAUGUGUGGAAGACUUGACAAUCA